AGCUCCAAUAGCGUAUAUUAACGUUGUUGCGGUUAAAAAGCUCGUAGUUGGAAUUCUGUCAGUGGGCAACGGUCCGCCCUCAGCGGCUGGUACUUGUUGGGCCACAGGCAUCUUCCUGGAGAAUGUGUCUGCUCUUGACUGAGUGGCGCACAAUCCAGGACAUUUACUUUGAGGAAAUAGGAGUGCUUCAAGCAGGCAUGCGCCGUGAACAUGUUAGCAUGGAAUAAUAGCAUCGGACCUCGUUCCAAAGCUGUUGGUUUCUUGGAUCGAGGUAAAGGUGAAUAGGGAUUGUUGGGGGCAUUCGUAUUUAACUGUCAGAGGUGAAAUUCUUGGAUUUGUUGAAGACGGACUACUGCGAAAGCAUCUGCCAAAGAUGUUCUCA
rnacentral:rRNA from 1 species